UCAUGGGGGUCGGUUGGGGGGCUUGGAAGGGAUCUGAAUGCCAGGCUUAUCCGAGGAGAGGAGAGGACCCCGGGGCCUCCUGCAGGGCCUCGUAGAGAGAAGCAGGAGGAAUUCUCUGUCUCGCUCAUUUGUCUUCUAUUUCUCAUCAGUCAGAACUCCUACUGGAUAAGAAAAAGGUCCAUGCCUCUUCCACCAUGACCUUGGGCACAGGAUGUAAGCUCAGUUCAUGACUGGCUCCCCAGGUUUUGGAAGAUGAGCUGGUGAAACAAAGAUGGAGCGAGCAGCUGAAGGUCAGACGCUUCUUGUGCUGUAGUUGGUGUCAGCUGUUCUGUUCAGAUUUAACAGAGAAGUAACACUGAGGCUCAGAAAAGAUCACUGCAAGGUGUCCCAGUCAUUCGACUGUCCACUGGCUUCCUGACGAAAGUUCAUCCUCCAGGGUCUCAGGGCAGCAAUCAGAGAACUCUGGACCAGAAAUCAGCUCUGAGGGCUGGCUCUACACCAGACAUUUGCCGACAUUGAGACCUUGACCUCCUGAACUCAUUUCCUCACCUCUUCACACAAGGGUAACUAACUGCUGCCUUUCAGAAUUGGGAAGAUCACACCAGCUAAUAAGCAUGAAUGCUCUUAAGACUCAAAAAGACAUAUCUUCACAUGUAUAAUGUGCAUGCAAAGUUAUUUUGCUGCAGAAAUGCUUAUAAUUCUAUCGAUAAUUCUAUCAUCUUUUAAUAUUAGAUGCUUAAUACUUGCUAAACACUGAACUUAAUCACUGAUUUGUUACAUAAAUACUUAAUACUUUACUACUUCAAUGCUUUAAUAGUUAAGAAUCUCUGUGUUUUAAAUGUAGUACUGUGAUGACUACCUUCUCACCCAACUAUAUUGCAUCCUUUAUAAAGGGCCAAAUUCUACCCUCUUGUUCUGUAUUUCUAUGCUUAAAAGUAAUAAUAAUUGCUAAUAUUAUAAUGAUAUUUUAUUCAUUAAACGUUGAAGGAAAUGUCUUGAGAAAAACUAGAAUUGGUAAGGUUGUCACAUUGACUGACACAACUGAAGUAUAAGGAUCUCCCUAUCAGGCAAAAAAAGAAAAAAGACAUUUAUGAGUGCGUGGGCCUUAAUAAGUCACUUACUUUAUCUCUCCUGUUUAUAUUGUGAGAAAGCAAGAUCUGCAAAGUGUUAUGAAUACUUGCAAUAGGAAAAAAAAAUCAGAGGAAAUUAAAAACUCUUUAACAGGGACCAGAUGUAUUUUUAAAAAAAGAACAAAGCAGUUGAGAUCUCCUAUUAAGACUGAACUCCCUUCUCCCCGCUCCCCCAUAAGAUCUCCUUCUCGAACUGUAAGGGUAUGCGAAUGAUAAUAAUUAAAUCCAAGCGACUUUCUUGCCUUAGACAAAGUGGGAAGCGAAUUACUACUCCCUUUUAGAAAAGGCUUCACAAAACCCUCUGCCAACAGCAGAGGGGGUAAACUGGUAGUUACGAGCCCCAGUCCCUUCCUGGGAGGCCCAGGCCAC